rnacentral:rRNA from 1 species
CCUACGGGAGGCAGCAGUGGGGAAUAUUGCACAAUGGGGGAAACCCUGAUGCAGCGACGCCGCGUGAGUGAAGAAGUAAUUCGUUAUGUAAAGCUCUAUCAGCAGGGAAGAAAAUGACGGUACCUGAGUAAGAAGCCCCGGCUAACUACGUGCCAGCAGCCGCGGUAAGACGUAGGGGGCAAGCGUUAUCCGGAUUUACUGGGUGUAAAGGGAGCGUAGACGGCAGUGCAAGUCUGGAGGGAAAGGCGGGGGCUCAACCCCCGGACUGCUCUGGAAACUGUACGGCUGGAGUGCAGGAGAGGUAAGUGGAAUUCCUAGUGUAGCGGUGAAAUGCGUAGAUAUUAGGAGGAACACCAGUGGCGAAGGCGGCUUACUGGACUGUAACUGACGUUGAGGCUCGAAAGCGUGGGGAGCAAACAGGAUUAGAUACCCUUGUAGUC